GAUGAAGAACGUAGCGAAAUGCGAUAAGUAGUGUGAAUUGCAGAAUUCAGUGAAUCAUCGAAUCUUUGAACGCACAUUGCGCCCCUUGAUAUUCCAUGGGGCAUGCCUGUUCGAGCGUCAUUUGUACCUUCAAGCUUUGCUUGGUGUUGGGUGUUUGUCUCGCCUUUGCGUGUAGACUCGCCUUAAAAUAAUUGGCAGCCGGCGUAUUGAUUUCGGAGCGCAGUACAUCUCGCGCUUUGCACUCAUAACGACAGCGUCCAAAAGUACAUUUUACACUCUUGACCUCGGAUCAGGUAGGGAUACCCGCUGAACUUAAGCAUAUCAAUAAGCGGAGGA
rnacentral:misc_RNA from 1 species